GAUGAGCGCUGGCGGUAUGCCUAACACAUGCAAGUCGAACGAGCUCUUCGGAGCUAGUGGCGGACGGGUGAGUAACGCGUGAGAAUCUGCCUUCAGGAUGGGGACAACAGUUGGAAACGAUUGCUAAAACCCAAUGUGCCGCAAGGUGAAAUAGUAAUAGCCUGAAGAGGAGCUCGCGUCCGAUUAGUUAGUUGGUGGGGUAAAGGCCUACCAAGGCAGCGAUCGGUAGCUGGUCUGAGAGGAUGAGCAGCCACACUGGGACUGAGACACGGCCCAGACUCCUACGGGAGGCAGCAGUGGGGAAUUUUCCGCAAUGGGCGAAAGCCUGACGGAGCAAUGCCGCGUGAGGGAGGAAGGUUUUUGGAUUGUAAACCUCUUUUGUUAGGGAAGAAGAAAGUGACGGUACUUAACGAAUAAGCAUCGGCUAACUCCGUGCCAGCCGCCGCAGUAACAC
rnacentral:rRNA from 1 species